CGAUAAGAUACUUUAAUAAUUGAUAUUCUUAAAUUCUAAACUCACUACAAUAAAUUAAACUUUUUAUGAGAAAGUAAAUUUCAUCAUUAGAAAUACUUAAACAUAAUACGUAAUAGUAGCAAAUUAUGCCAAAAAAACCUAACAUUUGUGAGAAUUUGUAAAUUUCCCACAAUAAUAUAGGGUGUGGCGCACCCGCUCUAAAAUUUUCCACACAUAAUUUUAGAUAUAAAAAAUAAAAUAAAAAAUAAAUUAAUCCUUCUCUCUAGUUGACCCAUGCCUCCCUCCCCAGCUCUCCCUCCAUUCUCUCCAUCCCUCUCUCUGUCGAUUUUUUGCAAUCCCUCUCUCUCUUUCUCGGUUCUCCCUUUACAUAUCCCUCUCUCUCCUCAUUC
rnacentral:lncRNA from 1 species